rnacentral:lncRNA from 1 species
UGGGAAUAAUUGUCCACUUGUUCGGCAUCAUAUCCCUUUUCUGAACCAUUAGUGCCGGAUGGAGCCUUCAACCUUUGCAUAAAAUCAGUGGCCCCACAUGAUUUCAGAAAUAUGCUUGCAUCAAUUUGGUUCCACAACACCAAUACUUCGCGUAGCAUCAAUGGUAUAUAGGUAAGCAAAAAUCUAUCCAUAUAUUGUUUCUCGGAUGAUGUUUUUCUACUAUACUUCAUCCGUUUCUAAAUACAAGUCCUUUUAUAAAUUUCAAUACAGAUUACAUACGGAUGUAUAUCGACAUAUUUAGAGUGUAGAUUCACUCAUUUUGCUCCGUAUGUAGUCUAUAUUAGAAUCUGUAAAAAAACUUAUAUUUAGGAACAGAGGGAGUAAUAGAUAGUAGAGAAAAACAGACCUAAUAAAGAAUACAAAGAGAGAGAAAACUAUUUAGCUACACUUCAGUCGACUGAAUUGGCUUUUGGGUCANNNNNNNNNNNNNNNNNNNNNNNNNNNNNNNNNNNNNNNNNNNNNNNNNNNNNNNNNNNNNNNNNNNNNNNNNNNNNNNNNNNNNNNNNNNNNNNNNNNNNNNNNNNNNNNNNNNNNNNNNNNNNNNNNNNNNNNNNNNNNNNNNNNNNNNNNNNNNNNNNNNNNNNNNNNNNNNNNNNNNNNNNNNNNNNNNNNNNNNNNNNNNNNNNNNNNNNNNNNNNNNNNNNNNNNNNNNNNNNNNNNNNNNNNNNNNNNNNNNNNNNNNNNNNNNNNNNNNNNNNNNNNNNGGGAACGGGGGGCUAGAGGGAUGGUCGGGGCGGCGGCGGACCGGCGGUGAGGAGUGGUUUCAGGGAGGGUGGGGCGGCGAGGCGGCGCCGGAGCGCCGCCAGCCGCGGGCGGCGGUGGCCGGCGGUUCGGUCGGUGGUGGCUGGCGGCUCAAGGGGGCGGAGGCUAAAGAUGAACUGCAGGCCUUUGAUUUCGCAUCCAACGGCUGGAAAAUCGACUGCCCAGAGAUGAAAAACUCAGCUGACUGAUUUCUAGCCAUUCCUGAGAAAAAAGAACCCACCAAUGAUGCAAAUUCCUCUCCAAUCCAUAGUAGUAACAAGUACCAAAGUUAAAAUAGUCAUGUUUUCAAUUGAAUAACGGUCAAUACAGAAGUAGCAUUUCAUAAUAAAAACAUGACAGUGAACACACUAAACUACCUACAAAAAUUAGACAAGUGCAUUAUUGAUUCCAACAUGUAAACAUUGCACAUUCUUGCAACUUCUACGCUUACUUAGUAGUCACACUAUUACUAGGGCUGCUCACCUUGCCAAGCCCAAACAAUGUCUUUCAAAGCCGGUCUCAUAUCAUGUUUAACCUUCUGAUACUCGAGAGUAUCACCAUUGGUCUUCCUGAUUUCCACCAGAUGAAAAUUUGGUGCAAUCUGAAAUAUCUCGGUAUCUAUGGACAUUACGCCUUUCCUUCCCGGUUGCAAGCUCUGCAUCUUCAACAACCCACCGUCUCUCUUCAUGAGUCUUAGCCGCAAGCGCUUUGCAAUAUCUUCAAGCUUUGUGAUGAUUGUUGCAGCUGUGUUGGUAGAUGUGAAUUUGGACUCUUUGUUGGACUUAUCCUCAAACAUGCCAGAGAGAUCAAACCCAGAAGAAAGAGAAAUGAUGUCAAAAGCAUUCAAGUUAGUGAGCUCUGUUGCUUCUUGUAUUGUCUCGGUUGUACAGCUACUGAAUGGAUCACAAGUCGGAUCCAUGUCAACAGCAACAAUGCCCUCCGUUGGUGUGUUAUAGCUAAUCAGUCCCUUGUCAAGGCCUGUCCGGAACCAAGAAUUGUCCAAGAUCUCUGAAAAGGAGAUCCGUGUACCGGGGUUCGGAUCAAGAAUACGCCUCAGAAGCCUCCGGGCAUCUGAAGAAAACCAGCUUGGCCAUUUGAGUUCUGCUUUGUAAAUCUUCUUAUACAUGUCCAUCAAAUUCUUGUCCUGAAAAGGGAGAUAACCAGCCAACAAUACAUACAAGAUGACUCCACAAGCCCAGAUGUCAGCUUUUGCACCAUCAUAUCCUUUCUUACUAAUCAGUUCCGGAGCAACAUAUGCAGGGGUACCACAAGUUGUGUGAAUCAGCCCAUCUUGUCUCUUGCAUUCUGCAAGUGCACUCAGACCAAAGUCAGAGAUCUUUAAAUUGCGGUUCUCAUCAAGAAGAAGAUUUUCAGGCUUCAGGUCACGGUGAUAGACGCCUCGGCUGUGACAGAAGUCAACCGCACUAUUGAGCUGUUGGAAGUACUUGCGAGCAACAUCUUCUUUCAGCCUUCCUCGUUGAACCUUGUUGAACAGCUCGCCCCCCUUCACAUACUCUAGCACAAAAAAUAUCUUGGUUUUGGUGGCCAUCACCUCAUACAAUUGGACAAUGUUUGGAUGUUUCACCAACUUCAUUACAGAUAUCUCUCGCCUUACUUGAUCCAUAAGCCCACACUUGAAGAUCUUCUCUUUGUCGAUCACCUUGAUGGCAACGCUCUGUGAAGUCUUGAGACUACGACCAUAGUAAACUUUAGCAAAGCUCCCUUGCCCCAGCAGUCUUCCCAUCUCAUAUCUCUCCAUCAAGAUAUUUCCCUUCUUCUCUACCAUCUUGGCCAGUUCUUAUGUACACAAAAGGCAGUGAUGUUGUAAGUUGAGGUGGUCAGAACUGAUCAGGGGCACUCAAUGAUGUGGACAACACCUGCAGAUGAUCAAUUCGUUUCAACCAUCUCCACCAAGAUGGUAGGUGGUCCAUGGAGCAUCCUGCGUAUGCCCAUGGAGCAACUCUUGUAUUUCAGUGUCUUCAAAAGCUAGACUGUCAGUUCCCAACCAAGGUAGUCCUCUACCACACAAGCACAUCUUCCGGCAUUCCUGUGGAGGAGAUAUUUUCCUUCGCACUGAAAGACUAAUACUGCAAGGAGGAAACACACGAAUGAUUAGGUACGUAACUACUAAAUAGCUUAGAAUAUUUUUUAAUAAAUAAAAACACUUGAACGAGGCAAACUUUCCAGUUUUUACGCAUAUGAAUGGUAUUUAUUACUUUCCAGAAGAAUCCAGAAAGCAAAUUCUUGCCUCUUAAAGAAAAAGAAAAGAAAAAUAAGGGCAAGCACUAGCAAUCUUGUUGCAUAGAUAAGAUUUCUUAUGAACUAUGAUUAUUUUCAUCUUUUGGUCUGAACUAUCAAGAUGUGUGUGUUUCUCUUUGCCUUAAACAAAGAUAUCAAGGCAGAGAGAGCUGCAUGACAUGGAACAUGAUCCGUGAAAACAACAUCCUUGUUGUAGAAGAGAAAAUUAUUUGUUCUAGAACAUACGGCAAAAGAAAAUGAUCUUGUUACUGAGUCCCGUUCAUGCAUCUAGUAUGUACAACUGCAGACAAACAGAAAAAUAUCUGAAAAGCUCCAAAAGCUCGCAGACAAAAAAACUCAACAAUUUGUACAGUACCGACCAAACAAAUCGUUCAGAUAUUUAGUGGAACAACAGACAAAGUUAGUCCCAACUCCCAAAUAAUGAUCAUCCAAGGCAUGCAUGCAUAUCUACGAAAAAACAGAUCUGAAUCAACGGAAUUCUAAAGAGUACUUCCGCGAUUGUGUAAUCACUAGUAUUAUGGGCACGGAGAGCCAAGGAAAGAUGCAAUUAGCUGCGUGUAAAACGCUGAGGUUUCUACAAGAUUCACGUCAAAGUUUCAAAUCCUUGCUGCUCCUAACCUCUUAGAGAGAUUGGAACAUACCAAAAUCGUAAACCCAGAUUAAAAUCAUAAAGCAUAUCUAAAAGGUAAACAUAUUAUGAGAUAGAAAGUUAGAAACAUACUUGAUCCAGACGAUUUGGAAUUCUAGACGCAGAGGAGAUUAGAACCGCGCCGGUAGAAAAGCCAAGAAACAAAGUCUUGCAGGAAGGUUCUGAGAAGAAUCGAAGGUGAGCGGCGGUAGUGGGAGAGUGGGGAGGAAGAAAUAGUAUUGGAUGCGCAAACACCACGCUAGGAGGUAUUUAUAGGCGCUCCACGGUGGGAUCUUUCUCCGAUUCCCGAAAGGGUACCGAUUUUGCACCCGCUGAACAAGGGUCCCAGCAGGGGCUAGUUCGUCAAUAUUUAUUACUCGUAUUGUUUUCUGUUCUUAGCGGGUCAAAAAUACUUUUUUAGUCGCCUUGCAUCACAAGUCUCAUUCGAAAUGGAAAGAACAAGGAUUUGCACUGGCUCUAUAUUGGACGCUUCCUCGAGCCCCGAUGUGAUGAUCGACCUCGCCACUAGGCGAUUGCGAGGCUCCGGUUUUCCACAGGCUCUCAAAUUUUUCAUACAAACAUUUGUGCUGGGAAAUAGGCUCUGAGUUGUUCCACUCCAUAUUCUAAAUUUUGAUUGUAUCGGAUGAAUUUUCCAUUUCGAAACAAAUAUAUUCAGUUGAUAUUUUGAUAUUGAUAGCGUGCAAAUUAUAUAGUUCUUUUACAUGUAAAUCCUUGUAGUAUUAUUUUUCCUCUACCAACUACCGCCGAUCAAGUCGAUCACGUCAGCCCCUCCCCCUCGCGUUGCCUCCCCUCAGGCGGCGCCAGGGGACCCCAAUCCCGCGCCGCCAACCCCUCCCCUCUCCUCCAUCCCCAGCCGCCGUUGCCGCUGGCAAGGGCCGCGGUGGCGGCGGGCCCUGCAUGAUCCAGGACGGGUGGUGGCUGCGGCAGAUCCGGUGAGACGGAGGCGGCGUCUCACGUGGAGGCCGGGGGCGGCAAUCAGGGGAGCGCCCCUGCUGCGCGGUGGCGAUGGGCAGGGGCGGAGCUGGGCCCCGGGCAUCCAGGGCCCAGGCCCGGGGCGUGGAGAGAUUAAUAGACUGUAAUCAAGUAAGUUUUUCUGCAGGCCCGGGUUGCAGCCCAGCGAAAAGAAGAAGGCCCAAAGCUUUGAUGGGCUGUCGCACGCAGGAGGAAAAACUCCACCCCCACGAUCUAGCACGCACGAGGCACAAGAGACUCAUCGCUGUUGGUAAAAAAAUAACAUGAAACUCUCGCGCAGCCGCCGCCAGUCGCACGGACGCAGGACGGCAAGAUCGAUCUCCACUUCUCCAGGAGGGACUCCAACGCCCGCGCCGCCGUCCACCGUGGCUACGCGCCUCCGCUCCCGGCCCACCCAUUGCCCCCCUUGCCUCCCGGACCUGCUCGUCGUUCACACGCGUGUGCUGCUUCACUGCCGUCUGCCGCAGCUUGUACUUGUAAUUUUCUUUGAUGCUUUCCCUGUUUCCCCCUUAUGCCUUCUACUUAUACUAGAUGACCAGUUGCGCCAAUGACGCAAAGGCCAAGAGUAAACCAUGUAUUAAAAGAGUGUACAUUAAUAUUAUUCGGGCACAUAUUAAAAUAUAUGAAGAAAAAAAUCCACUUACUAUAAAUACAAGUGAUACAAUACCCAUAUAAUGUUCAAGGAAAUAUCCGUAUAAACAGAACCGUUAAUUAGUCAGACACAAAUCCACACCCGAGAAGCACACUGCACAGGGUUGAAACUUUUAAGCCUCACAUUCCCAAGCAAUCUUAAGGAGGGCCAACAGAAUUGAAAUCACAGAUGCAAAGUAUCAGCAGUUAGUAAUAUUUAUACACACAGCUUCUUUAUUGUAGUCAUAUGAUGAUGAAAUCAGUACGUAAAUCAGCACCAAGGAUAGCCGAUCAGACAAACAAAAAUUCUGCAUCCCGCUGAAAAACACUAUUAUGCAAGACUCAUUUUAAAAGGCCCUCAGUUCUAAUUUCUAUAAGAGCUUGAAGCUUUGGAGCCAAGGCUACGAACCUUCAAAUCCAACCAAACAUCUUACCAUGCAAACACGGUAAAAUGGGAAAGAAAGACUAAAUGUGACGCACCAAAAGCGGAAGAAAAUGUUGAACGACCUGGGCGUGAGGAUUGUGCCGGUGACCUGGUGACGCCGAGCAGCGCGUGGAUGUGGACCAGGAUGACGGUGGUGGCGGCGCCCUCCUCGUCGACCUUCAGCAGCUCGCUAGAGUCUACAAUGCUCAUACUUUGCAUCAAGUAAACCCAUCUCACUAAGAACGGGAAUGAGCAUCGCCCUUUGGCAUGCUCUGCCUUUGGCAUGAUCUUGAUAGCAUCCGCUUCCUACAAUAGAACAUGCAAAGAGAACAUAAUGAGGAUAAUAUUAUGCAUGCACCACUCUGCACAAAAACCUCUCCAAGGAAGCAGCUUUUAUUACUCUACCUCCAGUUCUCUAGCUUUCAAUAUUAAAGGAAAAAAGCAAUUCCCACUAAUUGUAUAGCACAUAGAUAAACCCCAGAUUACAAUACACAAAACAGAGCAAAACUUCUUCAUAAUUCAAUUAAAAUGAGGCCAUAUGCAUCAUGAUUAAAGUUGCUCCCUGUAUUGUAUAUACAACCAUGAUUCAAAGUGCUCCUUGUACUGUAUAUACAACCAUGUAUAUACAACUAUAUCAUUUAUAGGCCAUGUAUAUACAACUUAAGAAAACAUAAAUACAUAACUGCAUAUGCAUCUGCAUAUAACAAAGCAGGUGAUCCAAUCUACAAAUAUUACAAUAGCAAUUGUGGCAGCACAAAAAGUGUAAUUGGACAUCACCAUUUAACAACUAAGGCUAUAAAAUAAUAGAUGAUUAUGCAGAUAGCAAAGAAAGAUUCAACAUUAUUGUGUCAUUGACAACUUUUUCAGGUAGUAGCAAAUCAACAUAUCUGCUGCUAAUAGAAACAGAAUCCGGAUCUCCUUUAGGGAGGAGCACAUACAGAGAAGAGAAGGAGUAGGUGUUCGUCACCAGAUGAUCAUUUUGCUCGGAGACAAAGAUGAGGAACUGGACCCAGCCGAUAGGUCGUUCUUGGUUUCCAUGUCUAGUUGGGUUAAUUCAGAAUCUGUUUAGAUCUUUUCUACACUACUGCCAUGCUGUGCUAUAAGCCAAAACCAGAUAACCAGGUCAAAAUCCUAGCUGUGACUUUAACGGUUCUGUUGGAAAUAUGCCCUAGAGGCAGUAAUAAAAUGGUUAUUAUUAUA